CACGAUGUCGCCUAAUGGACAAGACGUCUGACUUCGAAUCAGAAAAGUGCAGGUUCGAAUCUCGUCGCGG
rnacentral:tRNA from 1 species